rfam:Felis catus isolate Cinnamon breed Abyssinian chromosome D3, whole genome shotgun sequence.
GCCUGAGUGGCUCAAUCGGUUAAGCGUCUGACUUCGGCUCAGGUCACGAUCUCAGGGUUCGUGAGUUCGAGCCCCGCGUCGGGCU